rnacentral:rRNA from 1 species
AGACCCGAAACCCGGUGAUCUAGCCAUGGGCAGGUUGAAGGUUGGGUAACACUAACUGGAGGACCGAACCGACUAAUGUUGAAAAAUUAGCGGAUGACCUGUGGCUGGGGGUGAAAGGCCAAUCAAACCGGGAGAUAGCUGGUUCUCCCCGAAAGCUAUUUAGGUAGCGCCUCGUGAAUUCAUCUCCGGGGGUAGAGCACUGUUUCGGCUAGGGGGCCAUCCCGGCUUACCAACCCGAUGCAAACUGCGAAUACCGGAGAAUGUUAUCACGGGAGACACACGGCGGGUGCUAACGUCCGUCGUGAAGAGGGAAACAACCCAGACCGCCAGCUAAGGUCCCAAAGUCAUGGUUAAGUGGGAAACGAUGUGGGAAGGCCCAGACAGCCAGGAUGUUGGCUUAGAAGCAGCCAUCAUUUAAAGAAAGCGUAAUAGCUCACUGGUCGAGUCGGCCUGCGCGGAAGAUGUAACGGGGCUAAACCAUGCACCGAAGCUGCGGCAGCGACACUUUAGUGUUGUUGGGUAGGGGAGCGUUCUGUAAGCCGUUGAAGGUGUGUCGUGAGGCAUGCUGGAGGUAUCAGAAGUGCGAAUGCUGACAUAAGUAACGAUAAAGCGGGUGAAAAGCCCGCUCGCCGGAAGACCAAGGGUUCCUGUCCAACGUUAAUCGGGGCAGGGUGAGUCGACCCCUAAGGCGAGGCCGAAAGGCGUAGUCGAUGGGAAACGGGUUAAUAUUCCCGUACUUGGUGUUACUGCGAAGGGGGGACGGAGAAGGCUAUGUUGGCCGGGCGACGGUUGUCCCGGUUUAAGCGUGUAGGCUGGUUUUCCAGGCAAAUCCGGAAAAUCAAGGCUGAGGCGUGAUGACGAGGCACCACGGUGCUGAAGCAACAAAUGCCCUGCUUCCAGGAAAAGCCUCUAAGCAUCAGGUAACAUCAAAUCGUACCCCAAACCGACACAGGUGGUCAGGUAGAGAAUACCAAGGCGCUUGAGAGAACUCGGGUGAAGGAACUAGGCAAAAUGGUGCCGUAACUUCGGGAGAAGGCACGCUGACACGUAGGUGAAGUGAUUUACUCAUGGAGCUGAAGUCAGUCGAAGAUACCAGCUGGCUGCAACUGUUUAUUAAAAACACAGCACUGUGCAAACACGAAAGUGGACGUAUACGGUGUGACGCCUGCCCGGUGCCGGAAGGUUAAUUGAUGGGGUCAGCGCAAGCGAAGCUCCUGAUCGAAGCCCCGGUAAACGGCGGCCGUAACUAUAACGGUCCUAAGGUAGCGAAAUUCCUUGUCGGGUAAGUUCCGACCUGCACGAAUGGCGUAAUGAUGGCCAGGCUGUCUCCACCCGAGACUCAGUGAAAUUGAACUCGCUGUGAAGAUGCAGUGUACCCGCGGCAAGACGGAAAGACCCCGUGAACCUUUACUAUAGCUUGACACUGAACAUUGAGCCUUGAUGUGUAGGAUAGGUGGGAGGCUUUGAAGCGUGGACGCCAGUCUGCGUGGAGCCGACCUUGAAAUACCACCCUUUAAUGUUUGAUGUUCUAACGUGGACCCGUAAUCCGGGUUGCGGACAGUGUCUGGUGGGUAGUUUGACUGGGGCGGUCUCCUCCUAAAGAGUAACGGAGGAGCACGAAGGUUGGCUAAUCCUGGUCGGACAUCAGGAGGUUAGUGCAAUGGCAUAAGCCAGCUUGACUGCGAGCGUGACGGCGCGAGCAGGUGCGAAAGCAGGUCAUAGUGAUCCGGUGGUUCUGAAUGGAAGGGCCAUCGCUCAACGGAUAAAAGGUACUCCGGGGAUAACAGGCUGAUACCGCCCAAGAGUUCAUAUCGACGGCGGUGUUUGGCACCUCGAUGUCGGCUCAUCACAUCCUGGGGCUGAAGUAGGUCCCAAGGGUAUGGCUGUUCGCCAUUUAAAGUGGUACGCGAGCUGGGUUUAGAACGUCGUGAGACAGUUCGGUCCCUAUCUGCCGUGGGCGCUGGAAGACUGAGGGGGGCUGCUCCUAGUACGAGAGGACCGGAGUGGACGCAUCACUGGUGUUCGGGUUGUCAUGCCAAUGGCACUGCCCGGUAGCUAAAUGCGGAAAAGAUAAGUGCUGAAAGCAUCUAAGCACGAAACUUGCCCCGAGAUGAGUCUUCCCUGAGACUUUGAGUCUCCUGAAGGAACGUUAAAGACGAUGACGUUGAUAGGCCGGGUGUGUAAGCGCAGCGAUGCGUUGAGCUAACCGGUACUAAUGAACCGUGAGGCUUAACCUUACAA